rnacentral:rRNA from 1 species
GACGAACGCUGGCGGCGUGCCUAAUACAUGCAAGUAGAACGAGCUGCGAACGGGUGAGUAACACGUAGGAACCUGCCUCAUAGCGGGGGAAAACAACCGGAAACGGUUGCUAAUACCGCAUAGCUGCACAUUGAGAUACCCUUGAUUAGCUAGUGGGUUGGGUAAAGGCUCACCAAGGCGACGAUACAUAGCCGAACUGAGAGGGUGAUCGGCCACACUGGGACUGAGACACGGCCCAGACUCCUACGGGAGGCAGCAGUGGGGAAUAUUGCACAAUGGGCGCAAGCCUGAUGCAGCCACGCCGCGUGUAUGAAGAAGGCCUUCGGGUUGUAAAGUACUUUCAGCGGGGAGGCGUUACCCGCAGAAGAAGCACCGGCUAACUCCGUGCCAGCAGCCGCGGUAAUUC